UACAGAGGGUGCAAGCGUUGUUCGGAAUUAUUGGGCGUAAAGGGUGUGUAGGCGGUUUGCUAAGUCUUCUGUGAAAUCUACGGGCUCAGCCUGUAACGUGCAGAGGAAACUGACAGACUUGAGUGUCGGAGAGGAUAGUGGAAUUCCCGGUGUAGAGGUGAAAUUCGUAGAGAUCGGGAGGAACACCAGUGGCGAAGGCGACUAUCUGGCUGACAACUGACGCUGAGACUCGAAAGCAUGGGGAGCAAACAGG
rnacentral:rRNA from 1 species